GAGAAAACCUUGUGCACAUAUGUUAAUGCUGGGAUCCUUACAGAGAUUAGCAUGGCCCCUGUACAGGGAUGAGGCACAAAUUCAUGAGGCUUGCAAUAUUUAG